CAAGUUAGUCGGGUGAUCGCGGGGUGUUAUUACCUCGAGGAAAGUCCGCACUCCAUAGGGCACGGUGCCGGCUAACGGCCGGGCGGGGCAACCCGACAGCAAGUGCAACAGAGAGGUACAGUACCAGAAUGGGGUUCGCCCCAUCUGGUGAGGGUGAAACGGUGGUGUAAGAGACCACCGGCGAUAGCAGUAAUGUUAUCGGCCAGGCAAACCUCACCGGGAGCAAGGUCAAGCAGGGCGAAAUCCGGUCUCUGACCGGUGCGAGGCGGCUCGUCUCGCGGUACGUCCGGGUAGACUGCUAGAGUGACCCAGUAAUGGUUCACCCAGAGAGAUGAUCACCACCCGCGCCAGCGGGUACAGAAUGCGGCUUAUAGACUGGCUUGAGAC
rnacentral:RNase_P_RNA from 1 species